GCAAGUCGAGCGGUAGAGAGAAGCUUGCUUCUCUUGAGAGCGGCGGACGGGUGAGUAAUGCCUAGGAAUCUGCCUGGUAGUGGGGGAUAACGUUCGGAAACGAACGCUAAUACCGCAUACGUCCUACGGGAGAAAGCAGGGGACCUUCGGGCCUUGCGCUAUCAGAUGAGCCUAGGUCGGAUUAGCUAGUUGGUGAGGUAAUGGCUCACCAAGGCGACGAUCCGUAACUGGUCUGAGAGGAUGAUCAGUCACACUGGAACUGAGACACGGUCCAGACUCCUACGGGAGGCAGCAGUGGGGAAUAUUGGACAAUGGGCGAAAGCCUGAUCCAGCCAUGCCGCGUGUGUGAAGAAGGUCUUCGGAUUGUAAAGCACUUUAAGUUGGGAGGAAGGGCAGUUACCUAAUACGUGAUUGUUUUGACGUUACCGACAGAAUAAGCACCGGCUAACUCUGUGCCAGCAGCCGCGGUAAUACAGAGGGUGCAAGCGUUAAUCGGAAUUACUGGGCGUAAAGCGCGCGUAGGUGGUUUGUUAAGUUGGAUGUGAAAUCCCCGGGCUCAACCUGGGAACUGCAUUCAAAACUGACUGACUAGAGUAUGGUAGAGGGUGGGUGGAAUUUCCUGUGUAAGCGGUGAAAUGCGUAGAUAUAGGAAGGAACACCAGUGGCGAAGGCGACCACCUGGACUAAUACUGACACUGAGGUGCGAAAGCGUGGGGAGCAAACAGGAUUAGAUACCCUGGUAGUCCACGCCGUAAACGAUGUCAACUAGCCGUUGGAAGCCUUGAGCUUUUAGUGGCGCAGCUAACGCAUUAAGUUGACCGCCUGGGGGAGUACGGCCGCAAGGUUAAAACUCAAAUGAAUUGACGGGGGCCCGCACAAGCGGUGGAGCAUGUGGGUUUAAUUCGAAGCAACGCGAAGAACCUUACCAGGCCUUGACAUCCAAUGAACUUCUAGAGAAUAGAUUGGUGCCUUCGGGAACAUUGAGACAGGUGCUGCAUGGCUGUCGUCAGCUCGUGUCGUGAGAAGGUUGGGGUUAAGUCCCGUAACGAGCGCAACCCUUGUCCUUAGUACCAGCACGUAAUGGUGGGCACUCUAAGGAG
rnacentral:rRNA from 1 species